rnacentral:lncRNA from 1 species
GGGGAGGCUGGCGGCGAAGUCGUCGUAGCCGAGCACGGGCUUGCCCACCUGCUCCACCACCACCAUCUUCUUCUUCUCGUCGAUCCUGUAGAUGAUGAAGCGGUGCGUCCUCUUGGCCUUGAGCUCCAGGAACCGGCGCUUGCAGUCGUCGUCCACGGCCAUCCCUGACGCCGCGUUUGCCUGCAGAACCCGGGGGAGAGGAGGCGAAACAAGAUUCAGAGGCAGUGGAGACGAAGACGAGGGAGGUGAAGAAGAAGAGCAUGGCAGAUCCGUCGAUCGAGCAAACGAAAAUGCAGAUCGCAUAGCCGAUGAACAGGACUGGA